ensembl:lncRNA
CCUAUUUACAGCAGGCCCAUUGGCUGAGCCGCGCAAAAUGAAGAUGGAGAAAAAAGUAAAAUGAUAUUCAGAUCGCCGUUUUCAUUGUGCCAGCACAGGGAAAGAAAGCAUCUAAAAUCGCUGAAUCAGCCCAAAGCAGCCGGCGCGAACCGUGGAGAGUCCUAUUUAUUCAGAGGCAUGCUGGUUUGAGCUCAUCUGGUGAGGAGUCCAUCCCCGCUAGAGCGAGCAUCGUGCCUUCUCUCGCUCAUUCUUCAGCUAAUUCCCUACAGAUGUCUGCUGCACGUUGGUGGUGCCUCUGCAAAUAACCCUUCCAGGCUGCCUCUGUGUGUUUAAGUGGCCCAUUGGAAAACAGGAGAGGACCCAAGCCUGUGUAGGUGAAGUUUAGGCCUGUUCCUUCAUUCCAAUAUCUUCAGGAUUGUAGCUUCUUGUCUCUAGGGGGAGCCUACCUGAGCUGGAACACUGGGAUACACUCUCACGCACACCUCUGCAGGAUCAGCGAUGGUCAGCGAAAAAAGUCUGAACCAAACAGAGGAAGGAAAUCUUGUAAAGGAGUGGUAACAUCUGCUGAGAUCAAAUUCAAGUAAAAUCACAAAAAUAUUCAUUCCCAAAGAGAGCACUUGGACUUCUCCUUGUAAAGCCUCUGUGAUCAAGAAGUUCUCAGUGACAGGGGGACAUGCUGUGUGUUUGCAUAACCAAGAGAUGCUUUGGAGUGGUUACCCUGGAGCUAAGGACUGCAUUGCCUCAAAAGUAGAUUUGAGUUGGCGUCUCUUUCAAAACAGAGAAAUUCUUAGUCUUCUCAUUUCAGUCUCUUAAGAGUCCCAACUCUGAAGACUUGGUUAGAGGUUGCAAAUAGCUAGCCCAGCCAUGGAAUCCAGUGGGUUCACGUGUUUGAUCACCCCCAACCCACUUUACCUACCCAUAUCUCUGUAUGGACCCUGAUCUGGGUGACUAAGUCAUAGGUGCUCCCUCAGGGGGUGCCUGUCAAGGGGUGGGGGUUCAUAGGGGAGUGGGCCACACAGUGCUGCCCACUAGAGCAUUAGCCUCCAAUGCUCCAGAAAAUGUUGUCAAAUCCCUAAAUCCUUCUUCUUGAGCCCCUUUCUGUUCUGCCUUGGGGAGCCAUCAAGCUACCAGCCCUUGUUGUCAUGGUCAAGUCCUGGUUGCUUACCCAUUGCCAUCAUCCUUGGCCAAGCACUGAUCCUGCCUGGGCACUUGGCUUUUGCUGCUGCUGGCACCAGCCCCUUCACUCUUGCCACUGUGCCAUUGUAGCCACCUGUGCUGGAUGGGACAGGGUGGCCCCUCACCCAGUCCAAAAUGUCCCUGCUCUUCUGGGCUCUCCUUUCUCUGCACCAGAGCAAUGUACAAAAGAUCAUCUUCUCCACCAUUUUAGUGUUUGCCCGCCUGACCUCCCAGGAACUGGGGUGGUGGGGGCAUGGUGGUGUCUGUGCUCUGAGCCUAGGGGGACAGAUCUCACUUGUCUUUUGGGAUUCUUGCUAGAGCCCUGUCUCAUCUUCAAACAGCCUCAUGAAUCACUUUGUGGCUUUGGUCCACAAAGCAGCAUAUGCUGAUUGCUGCAUUCUAUAAGUGUAGGCUACAGUAUCUGGGUGUUUAGUCUGCAUUUAUGGUUCCAGAGCAUUAAUAUAUGCACUUACUCAUCCAUUAAAGGGGCACUUAUUGUAAAUCUACUACAAGCUAGGCCAAGUGGUAAGGAGGGUGCAAAUAGAUUUGAGACAUGGUUCCUAUCUUCUAGUAGCUUCUCAUCUAGAUGGCCAAGUUCACACUGAAACAUUUGACACCGUCCCUGCUUCCAUCCUCAAUAGCUGUGUGACCUUGGGCAAAUCUCUUAAAGCCUCUGAGCCUCAGUUUCCCAAGUGAAAGGGAGAUUAAAAACAGCUGUCCUGCAUGUCUCUCUAAAUUGUUACGUAGAGCAGAUUCAAAUCAGUUGAUACCAGAAAGCAGAAUUAGACUAAAUGGGGCAAAACAGCAGAUUCUUCAGGACAGUAUUAGGAGGGACUUCUUAACCAUCCAAGGCAACCGUCACAAACGUGCUAGCUCUCCCUACAGUGAGCUCACAUGCCUGCGGGCACUCAAGCCCAGACCAGGUGGGUCUUGGUGGAGAUGCUGCAGCGAGGAUACAGAAUAUACCCUAGUCCCCCAAGAUACUGUAAAAACCCGUCAACAGGUGAAAUAGCAAUGUCUUGGUCUUUGGUUGCGUUUCUUUCUAACUAACAGACAUUCACUGGGCAUCUGCUGUGUGCAGAAGCCUAUGUGUUCUUCCCAGAGGGAGUGCACAGGUGGGGAGAGCCUUGUCCCUGUCCUCACCAAGGUGAGCGCUUUGUUGAGGAGGUGGACUCAUACGAGGUGCAAGGGAGUGAAUCAAAAGGCAAAGAGAAGUGCUGAGAGUGUAUGAACAACAACUACUAGGCGCUUACUAUGUGCAGGCACUUUGUAGGCGCAGAGGGUGCAGCAAACAGUGAACAAAACAAAGGCUUGCCUGGAUCUCACUUCCUGGAGGGCGAGACAGAUGAGAGCAAGUCCACAAACAAGCAGGUAAGUGCUAGAAGGAGAACAGAUCCAGAUGAGGGAUCUAGAGAGUCACUGGGGAGUGGAAAUGGAAGGAUCCUCUGAUAAGGCAAAUUGAGAGAAGAAUUGAUAAGGUAAAUUACUCCCCCUGCAGCAAGUGGAGAGGUUGCCUGAAGUAAGGGUGCUCUGGGCAGAGGGAACAACUGGUGCAAAGACCAGGGGCCAGGAUUGAGCCUGACAUGUUUGAGGAGCAGCAAUGGCGCCCAUGUGGCUUGGGAGACGUGAAGGAAUGCACCUAUAAAGUGAGAAGAAGGGGCCUGUGAGGGGAGGAAAACCAAGUCAGAAUGUCACCUGGAUGCCAAGUGAAGGAAGUGUCUCAGGAAGGAAGGAGAGAUGACUUAGUGCUGAGAGAUCAAAUAAGGUAAGGAUUGAGGAAGACUGUUGGAUAGGCAGGCCGGAAGUCACUGGACAGGGCCAGCUUCCCUGGAGACGUCGCCAAGAAAGCCUGAUUGCAAUGAGAGAGGAAGUGGAGAUAAGGGUAGACAAUUCUUUUAAUGAGCUUUCCUGUAAAGAGGAGCAGAGAGAUGAGACAGAAUCUAGAGAUAAGAGUGAGUCAAGGAAAAGAUAUUUUGGGGAGGAGGUGGGAGAAAUAGCAGCAUAUUUGAGUCAUACUGAUGGAGAUGAUCCAGUAGAGAGAGGAAAAGUGCUAACAGCUGGAGGGAGCACAUCUGGAGCCACAAGAGGGAGUGGAUCCAGGGCCCAGUGUGGGCUGGCCUUAGCUGGGAGCGUGAACAGGGCACCUACUGCAUUUUUCUCAAGUAAUGUGCAUUUACUGGCUGCACAUUAGAAUCACCUGGGGGACCUUGAAUAAAAGUCAGUACCCAGCCUCACCUCAGGUCAUUUAAAUCAGUGCUUUGACUUAAUGAAAUUCAGCAUCUUUUGCUGUAUUUCCAGUUCCACUUUAGAAUCAAUUUGUAUUUUAUUUGAAUAUCCCACAAUCAGAGAUAGAGACCGCCUAUCAAAGAUUUCCAAUUGAUGGGUGUUAUUAUCGGGCAGGGAGGCUCAGUAAGCAUCAGUUUCGUAAGUGGUCAUUUCAUUAGUUGAUUUUUGUCGUUAUUGUUAGUUAUGGUAUUUACUUUCUUUGAAAAUAUUUUGAUUACAAGGAUUCAGGUAAUAAACUAGGAAAAAUAUAUAUAUGAAACCUGGAAGGCAAAGUACUAUAUUAAUAUUGGUUUUUGCUGGGUAAAGGAAUUAC